AGGAAACUUUUGAGUCUUUGACGGUUCGUUGAGUAUAAAUAAACGCCACCGCCACCUACCAGCCUAACAGAAAAGCAAAGCAAUGCACACUGCACAUACAACAGAGAGUGCUUGUUGUGCGUUCGGUUCUACUUCGCAACCUCCGGCCUCUCGCCAUUAGCACGCACCUUUCCGGAAUUUCUUUCUUUCUCUCACCACUAUGUGGUCCUCUCUCUGGCGACCGAUCAACCGUUUCUCUCUUCAAUAUUUCAGAUAUACAAUUAACGAAUUACAGGAGAUCAAAGUCGUGGAUGAGUACAACAGGGAAAUAGUCAUCGAUUUACUACAGUCUAUUGUGGAGAUUGUUACAUAUGGUGACAGACAAGACCCAUUGAUAUUUGAAUGUUUCAUGGAAUACCAAGUCCUAGCUCAGUUUGUUCGUAUACUAAAGAUAAGUCAGAAUUCACGAAUUGAGGCACCACUGCUCCAGUAUCUAAGCAUAAUGAUUCAGAACAUGUCUAGUGAACAUGCAAUUUACUACUGUUUUAGCAAUGACUACAUCAAUAAUAUCAUAGAACAUGAGUAUGAAUUUGAUGAGGGAGAUCUUGCUCUCUAUUAUGUGUCCUUUCUAAGAGCAGUGAGCAGCAAAAUGAACAGAGAAAUACUUUGUCUUCUUGUGAAGGUUCACGGGAAUGUGGUCAUUUCAUUCCCCCUUUAUACUGCGUCUCUUAAAUUCGCCUGCCACGGGGAAAAGAUGAUACAGACAGCAAUACGGGCAUUGACUCUGAACAUCUAUAAUGUUAGCGAUGAUAUGGUAUAUAAGUUCGUAACAACUCCUCCAUCGUCAAAGUAUUUCUCGGACUUGGUCCAUAGCUUAAAAGACCACUGCAUUCAUCUCGAUGAACUUGUUCAUGCAACAGAGGAGGCAUGCACUGAUGAGAGAAUAAAGCAAUUGCUUGUGGAAACAGAUAAAAUUGUAGAUGAUCUAUACUAUUUUAAGGAUGUGGUUUCUAUUAGUGAGACUUGGUUGAGUGGACUGGUUACUCAAAAUCUUCUUAAUUUGCUCGUCUUCCCCAUAUUGCUCUCACUACUCCUGCUAAGGCAGAGUAAUGGCUCAAGUCUAUCUUCAAUUACUUCCUUUUAUAUACUUAAUCGUCUUCUUCAGGUCAUUGAUUGUAAAAGCUUGAUUAAUUCUGUUGCCGGCGCUAUAUUAUAUCCUUAUAUGAAAUUAAGCUUGGGAGAUGCUACUGAAGGGGAAAAGGCUGACAGCACUACUAACGUUUCUAAUUUUCUUCCCAACUGUUUGAAUGAUAUAAAAGAAUUGGUAAGCAAUGGUUCUGAGUUUGCAGAGACAGAAAAAAUUGAUGCAGAUCAUCUGUUUGGGCGCAUCGAUGAGUAUCUAUCAUCAAAUUCUCAUUUUAAAAACUGCCACAAGGAAAAUGAUAUACAUAAGGAAAGUCUUUUAUCUUUCAGGAGAGGAAUACUUGCAUUUUUGUCCUCUGACAAUCAUUGCGUGCAGUUAGCAUCUCUAUUGUUACUGCUUAUUUUAGCAGAAAGUAAAGACCUUGAUUAUAAACUGGCUUCUUUGAUUGGAUUUGGUGGGUUGCAGCAUAAGAUGGAAAUGCAUGGAAGCGUCCUUACAAAAUUGAUGCCUGAGGCUUUAAAUGCUGUAUUGAAUAUUUUAGCUAGUGAUCCAGCAACCCCUGUAUUAGUAAAAUGGCAUGCUGGAUGGUUCUUGCAGAAGCUUGUGAAUUUUCAUGGAAUGAGGCUUUGCGAUGAAAACCUUCACCUGUUUAAUGAUUCAUAUGAACAGUCCCUUCAACGUCUUCAAAACGAACUUGAUGGGUGCUGGUUUGAUCAUAUUCUCAUUACUUUGAAAAAUGAAUGGACAAGCUGUGGAACAGCUCUUGAGGAGCCAUCCCAAUCCAAAGAUCCUCUUUUUGUUCUAGAAGUUGCUGUCUGUCAACAAACUACUAAUGGCAUAGCAGCACAUUAUGGUGGCGAUAAAACUUCUUCUUAUGCUGCUUGGCGAAGGAUGGUUGAUGUAGUGAAGGUUUUUGUUCUCCAUCUUCAGCUUAAGGCACUUAUUUUUGAAGAGGAGUUGCUGGAAAAACACUUGCUAGUUUCCAUGAGCAGUUCCACUGCCAAUUCUGGGAGAACUCAUGUUUCAGAAGCUUCAUGCGCGAGUUUUGGGUCUGACAUCUCUUUAGGAGCUGGGAUUCCCUGCCAAAUUGCAUUCUCAAAUGCUGGUCUCAGGGAUAUUUUUAUGAUACCUGUGGCAAGACAAACAUCUGGAAAGUUGCUUCUUGCAGAGAAACAUCCCAUUAGAGGACAACGAGGGGUUGUAAUUGCUGCGGCUCCAUUGGCUAGGUUAAGUCCAAAGAUAGAUGAGGGACAUCCCACUUGGUUGCAUCUUCGGAUAAGAGAGUUUGAUACAAUGUUUGAUGCAAGCAAUAAAGGCUUCUGCUCAAAAAUGUCCAAUGACACUUCAGAUGGGAGAUGGACACUUGGGUUUUCAACUGCAAAAGCUUGUGAAGCUGCUCAAUUACUGAUACUCAGGGAAACUAGCAAGCAAAGAUCUGCAACUGCGAGGAUGCUUGCUCCACUGCUUAAUAGUAGCCAUACCAAAGACUUGUAAGAUGGUCAAGAUGAUUAAAGAGCUAUUGCAAGUGUUGGUUGCUGAGAUAACUUGAGGACAAGAAACUUCUGCUACGGUUGAUCAGGCUACUUGAGAUUAUAAUCUUUUAACAGAGUAUAGAAAGCAUUCAUGUCAAAGGUAUCGGGGCUACCAUAUUGGGGUUGAACCAUUUUCCUUUCCAGAUGGACAGUUUCUUAGACAUUUCUUGAGGCUUGAGAACAAAAAUUGUGGUUGGUUCCCAUAACAAUUGUGACCCUUAAGCGGUUCUGCCAUGUAGGGCAUCUUGUUGACCCCAUACUUGGGCUGCUUAAUGAAAACAGAAGUAGUUGGUUUAGCCUAGAGCAAAGGAAGAUCUAUGGGAGGGAAAAGGAUAUGGUAGAUGGCGUUGUUGAGCUAGGUCAGAAAUUAUUAUUUUUGUGCAGUUUACAAUCAUCAUCUUCCAGACCUCAAUGUUGAAAAGUUGGUUCUGAUUAGGCCGCAGCAAUUAUUAUGCUAUAUGGCAAUGAUGAGUUCUACUGGAAUGGUACACGGAGGAGUUUCUUUUCAUAAUUUGACCUUUUUCUAUAGUUGUUGACAAUCUGAAAUUCAGGUCGAAGAAGUACAGCCUGAAAAGGAUCAAUCAUUGUGGUGAGAGCCUAGAUGCUUUGCAAGGGAGUCAGGCAGCCAAAUCUGGAUUGGUGGGUGGAGCCGGCGGUCUUUAGGCUAGAUGGACUACAACUGUGCAGGGAAAGUGGGAAACACCAGAUUCUUGUAACACCUAUUUCUCUUAUCAUCAUCCUUCUCAGGUUGGGCAUAUUAACGUAGUCAUCCAGGUACACUUCGCUAGAUUCUAAUCUUUUUCUCCAGUAAUUUAUCCAUGAAUCCUAGUGAAAUCAACACUAAGUUUUCCAUUCGUUUUUUUAAAGUAAUUAAGUGAGAUAUAAGUUUUUGAACA